UACGUAGGGUGCGAGCGUUGUCCGGAAUUACUGGGCGUAAAGAGCUCGUAGGUGGUUUGUCGCGUUGUCCGUGAAAACUCACAGCUCAACUGUGGGCGUGCGGGCGAUACGGGCAGACUGGAGUACUGCAGGGGAGACUGGAAUUCCUGGUGUAGCGGUGGAAUGCGCAGAUAUCAGGAGGAACACCGGUGGCGAAGGCGGGUCUCUGGGCAGUAACUGACGCUGAGACGCGAAAGCGUGGGGAGCAAACAGG
rnacentral:rRNA from 1 species